rnacentral:rRNA from 1 species
UACGGAGGAUGCAAGCGUUAUCCGGAAUUAUUGGGCGUAAAGCGUUCGUAGGCGGUCAAGCAAGUCUGCUGUCAAAUCCCGCAGCUCAACUGCGGAUAGGCAGUGGAAACUGCAUGACUAGAGUGUGGCAGGGGUAGGGGGAAUUCCCGGUGUAGCGGUGAAAUGCGUAGAUAUCGGGAAGAACACCAGUGGCGAAAGCGCCCUACUGGGCCACAACUGACGCUGAGGGACGAAAGCUAGGGGAGCGAAAGGG